rnacentral:lncRNA from 1 species
GCCUCCCCAGAAGCAGAAGCCACUUUGCUUCCAGUACAGCCUGCGGAACGGACUGUGAAUGGAUUUGUCUCACAGACCUUAACAAUUGCUCCCUCAUAUAAUGGUUAUUUAUGUACAUUAUUCAUGUCCCUUGCCAACCAUUCGACUCAUCUGAGGGGUGAUCAGUGUGUGGCACAACUUUCAAGCUUGCCCAGCAUUUCCCAAAGUGCCUGGCACAUUCUAGAUUUGUUACGAACAAAAGGACAGCUGUCCCAGUAUUUGGAGAGGUUGCUUUGUAGGAAUACUUCCUAGCUCCAAAGAAUCUGUCUCAAUUAAUGGUGCACCUGGAAACUGAAGAUGAUUCCUACAUUUUGAUAAAGAAGGUGGUGGGCCAAGGAGAAGAGAGAGAUUUUUUAAAUAUUUCCAUAAAAUUGAGAGCGAAGAGCACAAAGCAAGACCACUCAGGCCUUAGUCCUUGUCCUGUGCUGUGGACUCCAUGCCCUGCCCCAAGCAGUCUCAGGAGCAGACGUGUCAACCUUCCUUCACAGAGGAGUUUAGUCUAUGUUUAGUCUCUUUUUUUGAACUGGAUCUUUUCUAUUAACAUUUAAACAUGUUCAUGCCUCUUUCACCUUAAAAUAAAAGCCCUCACUAUACUUCAGUUGUCCAUCUUUCCCAGUGACUCUAUCGGUAGUUAUGAACAAGAAUGGCAUCGGUGUCACCAAACUGAAGGGAUGUUUUCCAGACCUUAGCUCACUUGGCCUUCAGCACUAUUAAACCCUCUCCAUCACGGACUUCAGAAAACACUCUCUUAUUCUGGCUUCUCAAGACACCGCGCCCUGGGUCUCCUCAGACACCGCGCCCUGGGUCUCCUCAGACACCGCGCCCUGGAUCUCCUCAGACACCGCGCCCUGGGUCUCCUCAGACACCGCGCCCUGGGUCUCCUCCUGCCUCUGCGGUCACAUCUAUGUUUCCUGUGAGUCUCCUUCUGCUCAACCCAGCCAUUAAAUAUGAGCCUCCUCUGUGUGUGGAGCCUUCUCUUUGCACUUGCUACUCUCUCCCUCCUCAUGUCAGCCUUGUCCAUGGCUUUAACUGACACAUAUGUAA